CAAAGUCCUUAUCAAUAGUGUCAAUUCUGCAAUUUGGAUCGCAUAUCUGAACAUUCUAGUUGCAGAAGAAUACAUAAAGACAUAUCACUCCAAAGUUUACACUAAAUUCAUUCAUGCUCAAUUAAAGAGGAUCGAUCACCAAGGGGUUUAUCUCAGCCCUAGUUUGAAAGUUCUUCACGUUCACUCCUGGUCUCAAUAUGCCCCUGAAGCAAAUAAACAAAAGAUUGCUAACAAAGAGUUAAAUGGCAAUGAUAAUUGUCGAUUCACAAUCAUAGGAAUUCCUGCUUCAAUGAAGCACUUGUCAUCUCGGUCGCUCGCUCAUUCCAUUGAUUGAUUGAAAUAGGAUCUGGACCAAAACAAGAGAAACAUAGAAGGAAAAAAGGAGCCAAACCCCUAACCUCCUCCUGACAAUGGAACCGUGAGGAGGUUGGUUGGAAUCCUUGGAAUGAAGAACUGCCAUUUCCGCAACAUCUAGAAGCCUCAGUGUCUCAUUCCAACACUCAGAACCCCGCCAUAGAAGCUUACCUACAAGAAAACAUUGUCCAGGGAAACUUAGCUGCCCACUUCACUAACUGAGUUAAACAGAAUACAACUCUGGAAACAAGUAAUAAGUUAAAACAGAGGAAAACAACACCUUUCGGAGAAUAAGGGUGAAGGAGACCUCCAGAAACUCCAGAAGCACCUCGUCCGAUUCCCGCUUCAUCAUACAGAUCAACUCGAAGAUUCAGCUUCUAUCAUUGUUCUGCUUGACCAGAAAAAUGGACCUCCAGCGUUAUCAAGAAAAUGCAGAAGAAAUCGAAGAGUUAAGCAACAAAAUCUAGUUUCAGCAAGUGCCAAGCUACGGAGAGACCCGCAAAACCAACUCCAAGAACCGCGUAUCUGCAACGUAGUUAUGCUGUUUCUUUCAAAGAGUAUCGAGAAUAAUCGCGAUUGAAUCGAAAGAUUAAGCAGGUGGACACGAGGUUUAAGAAGAAAACAACGAGCGUACCUGACAUGACGAAUUGGAAAAGAGGGAAGAAGCUGCGACAUGGUGGAGAGGACAACGGAGAGUAUAAGUUUCAGGCUACAAUGCUGCUACCGCCGACUUGCAGCAAAGGGACGACGGUAGAGCUACGGCAGCGGGAAAACGGUGAACGUUAACCCAAUCGCUCCGCGGUCCCCGCUUUUUACGAAGAUAAAACAACGAAUUAAACAG
rnacentral:lncRNA from 1 species